GCCUGAUAAAGACAAGUAUUUGUAAUCGUAGUUUUUCAAAGGAUGUAGUUUUUCAUACAUUUAUUAUAUAUACAUUUUUCUUUCAGAGAUCCAGCAAAAAUCGUCUCUAUUUAUGUGUAACGGCUCUAAGAAACACAAAUUGAGCUAACUAUAAUGUUACACUGUCCCUUCUUUUCUGUUUUAGUGUUCCAGAAGUGGCGAAACCAGGGCUAAUUUUACUCCUGCCAAGAAAAUAUUUGAGCAAAACCUUUUUUUUUCAUCUCCGGCUUCAAGUUCCUAUAAAUCAUGUUAAGCCGGAACUAGCUGUAUUAUACAGCAUACUUGAUAAUGAAUUACUAAAGGCUAAAAUUUCACCUGUCUAAUUUCUUCUAAUUGUAAACGUAAAUUAAUCAAAAAAUGAAGUGCGGUUAUUAAUUUUGACGCAACCUAGAUCUGCCACUUUUACUUAUCUCUAAAACCCUAAACUCUAGAACCCUGAUUUCCAAUCUCCACUAAGAUCAUCUUUCAUAGUCCAAUGUCAAUGUCAAAUAUGAAUAGUCGUUAUGGCGAAACUAACAUACCUCGAUGGUUUGAUUUUUUCCCGCGAAGACAAACUGCCCUCCGGCGAAGUCAUCAUUCAGAAUGCAGUUGUCCGAAUGGACGGGGUGGCUGAUGUGAAUGCCCUUGGAUGGUUGCUCUAAACGGACCAAAACGGAGCAUUAGACUGCUCUUCCUCCGCAUUGCUUGGUGGUCUCUCAUCUGGGUACUGACCAGUCUUCUGAAAUGUCUAAAUUGGCAAUUAUUAUAUGAGUUGUCAUCUUUUUCAAACGACGUCGACACCAGGACUCUCGGACAGGACACCUUCGCUUAAUGACAAACUAAUGUUUUUGUUGCAAGAUAUGCUGAGCAGGCGGGAUCUCGUUGAAGAUGUCUUGGUGGGAAAGUUUCUGGUUUGUCUAUGUCCUCUCCGUGGUAACCUUCGUAGCUGGAUUGGAUAUCAAAGACUACUCGGAUGCCAUAGAAGUCACGGAAGAACAAAAUAAGGAAACAUGGGUUAUCGAAAACACAUCUCCUGGGAUAAGUGGUUCACUUUCGUACAAAUUAUCGCCAGCGGGCAGAGAUUACGAAACCUAUAAAAAGUUCUUCAUUGUUCAAAUCAACGACACUCAUGCGUUGCUCAAACUAAAUUUUAGUUUCAACUUUGAGGACGCAUACACAAAGGAUCAGAAGAUGAAGAUUGAAAGUUAUAAUAAUCUCGGAGAUAGCGCUGGAGUGUUAACGCUUACUGUUAGUAUCAUAGAUAUCAACGAUUUUCGUCCCGUGUUCUUAAACCUUCCUGCAACAAUCAACUUGAGCGAGGCACUCUGCGUUGGAUCUAAAUUUUUCACCGUGAAAGGCAAAGAUGACGAUGCUGGUAAAUCAGGGACCAAUAAACAUAACGCAAUCACUUUCUCUAUAGUCGAUGGAAAUGUUGAUGGUGUGUUCUUGAUAGAGGAUGAAACUCAAAAAUCUGCACUUUUGAAACUUAAACAUCGCGUGGAUUACGAUGUAGGACCCACGAUGUACAAUCUCACAAUCAACGCAACUGACUAUCGUAAAGGAGUCAACGAGGAAAAUGCUCUCUGGUCGUUAUCGUAUCUUGUCGUGCAUAUAACUGACGUUGACGAUCAGUCAGCGGUCUUCACUCGAAAUUUGUACCAAGUCUCUUUGCCCGAGGACAGCUCGACGGGAACUUUGGCUGCAUCGGUUCUCGCCAUGGAUAAAGACAAAACUGAAAUAGGGAAAAUAAAAUAUGGGAUAGUUGACGCUAGCAAUCCCGGUGAUACUUUUGCCAUUAAUGAAACGAGCGGUGAAAUAAGGCUUGUUGGCACUCUUAAUCGAAAUAACCGAUCGUUUUUCGCAUUACUUGUGUUGGCCAAUACAACCUAUCAUGAUCCCACAUAUACCCAGGUGCUCAUCGUCGUUAAAGACGCGAACGUUAAUUCACCCAAAUUCAUCUCCAAUCUGUACUCGGCUCGAGUGGCGGAGAAUGCUGAAAUAGGGACUCUUGUGCUUGUGGUGCAGGCAAACGACGCCGAUGAGGGCAAUAAUUCGGUCCUUGGUUAUUCUCUCGGAAACGUUGAUUCCAGCUCAUUUUACGUGAUUACUAUUGGCUCUCUUGGAUUUGUUUAUGUCAACGCAACGUUGGAUUAUGUCGAGAAAAACAUUUAUAAUUUUACAGUCACCGCGACAGAACUCUACACGCAAGAAAAGUUCUUUGACACUUCCGUAAUCGUACUGCGCGUAUUCGAAGUGCCCGAAAAUGAAAACAGUCCAGUAUUCAAUCAGUCAACUCGUUCAGUGACGGUCACCGAGAAUUCUUUACCAGCGAGAAUUCUUCAGGUCUCCGCGACAGACAAAGAUCAAGGGGAGUUUGCGCGAAUUGCUUACUCAAUCAUUGACGGAUCUCUCGGAAAAUUCACGAUCGAUAACGUAACUGGAUGGAUAAAUACGACGUCACCAUUGGAUAGAGAAGAUAAAGAUGAAUAUCGUCUGUCUGUCAGGGCUGUUGAUGGUGGUGAAUUUACGCGUCAUGCAGACGUAACUGUCGUUGUAACAGUCCUUGAUUCGAAUGAUCAUUCACCAGUAUUUUUGGCCAAUAACUACACAGGAUCGGUUGUUGAAAACAGUAACCUUGACAACAUCAUUCUAGCCGUCCAAUCAAGAGAUUUUGAUGAGGGUAUCAACGCUUUAUUUGAAUAUUCCAUCAUUGGGGGUGAUGCGAAAUUUUCUGUUGUGACAGAAGGAGAAAUCGGUUACAUCAAAGUCAAUGGUAGCUUCGAUUAUGAAACAAGAAAAGCGUUUAGAUUUUUGGUCGUUGCUACGGAAACUGCAACCACAGAGCGGCGCAGAAGUAAUGCUUCUGUAUUUGUGACGGUUAUUGAUGUCAAUGAUAAUGCUCCUGUUUUCUCGCCGGUCAGCGGUUAUGUUGCAACGAUUUUCGAGAACAAGCCCAAUGGAACACCAGUGGUUAACGCGAGUGCAACUGAUGCAGACGAUCAUGUUUAUGGUGAGAUAACGUUUAGUCUACUGACGUCAUCUUUCCCAUUCCGGAUUAAUCCAAAUACGGGAGAGAUUGUGAGCGAUGGAAUUCUUGAUUAUGAAAGCCGACGUGGUUAUAAUUUGACGGUACAAGCUAGUGAUGGUGGCCAACCAGCUCUAAUAUCAUACGCUCCUGUUUUUGUUAAUGUUGUCGAUGUUAACGAUAAUCCUCCUAAGUUUCUCCAGACCAACUACGUCGUUAAUAUAAACGAGAACACGAAUAUUGGGACAGCGGUCUUGACUGUGACGGCGAUCGACGAUGAUGAGGGAUCAAAUUCAAAGAUUACCUACUCCAUUUGCGGUGGCGAUGACCUGUUUAAAGUGGACUCUAAUGGAGUGAUAUUGGUGAACGGUACGUUGGACUAUGAGAUGAACACCUCAUUGAAACUCACGGUGUUUGCCGAAGAGAGUUUGACGAAUGAGAAGUUCAGGGCGAACUGUUCCGUGGAGGUGAUUCUGAAUGAUGUGAAUGAAUACGACCCGGUUUUUCUUGAAGAAAGUUACUUCGCUACAAUAUAUGAAAACGAAGAAGUAGGAGCGACAAUUGCUCAGGUAAAAGCCUCCGAUCAAGAUGGACGUUUCAGCAGCAUAAAAUAUUUUAUCAUUUCUGGUAAUCUCGAUGGAUAUUUCACGAUGAAUCAAACGUCCGGUCUUGUCAGGACGAAUACGUCUUUCGAUUACGAGUCGAUGAAUCAUCACUUUUUCUUGAUAGUGCAAGCAUCUGAUGAUGGAAAUCCAAACAGGACAUCUCGAACGUUUCUUGUUAUUAACAUGAAGGACCGAAACGACAAUUUCCCUGUGUUUUUGAAAUCUUCGUACAACGCCACAAUACCCGAGAAUCUUCCCCCAAAGACUGUUGUGCUGACUGUCAAAGCGGUCGACCACGACGUUAAUACGAGCAACUCCGACUUGCGUUAUUUUGUUUUGAAUUCGGAUGCGAAGUUCGACGUAGAUUCCUUAACCGGUCAGAUAUUUGUGAACGGAUCUUUAGAUUUCGAAGCUCAAGAGAAUUACGAGUUUCAGGUGAUUGCGGAGGAGUCUUCGAACAAACUACAACAUAAAGCGUCGGUAUUCCUCAGUUUGUCCGAUGUGAAUGAGUAUGAUCCAGUCUUUAACAACACUGCUUAUGUUGUAAACGUCAGCGAAGGAAGCUCAGCGAUUGGAUCGCCUGUUGUUCGGGUGGCUGCGAUGGAUAAUGAUGGUUAUUUCAACCAGUUGUCGUACAGCAUUUUACCUGCAUUGGAUCACGGCAGUUUUUCAAUCGACAACAGCUCUGGUCUCGUACGCACUGCUGUUGAACUGGACCGCGAGAGACAGGAGAAGCUCAUAUUGAUCGUUGAAGCAAAGGACAACGGUAUUUUCCAGCGAAAAUCACAAGUCACUGUAGUAAUUGAUGUCAUAGAUUCAAAUGACCACAUUCCAGUGUUUACGGAGAGCAGUUACAAUGCGACGAUACCAGAGAAUCUUGCUAUUGGCUCUUCAUUUCUUACUGUAAAAGCAUAUGACGUUGACGUCGGUUCUAACGCCUACUUUCAGUACCGUAUCCUUGGUUACGAAGAAACGUUUGACAUUUCCAUUGAUGGCGUUAUCUCGACAAAAACUGUAUUGGAUUUUGAAAAUAUGACAACGUACACGUUUUUGGUUGUUGCAAACGAAAGAAACAGUUCUGCUCAACCAAAUGCGACGGUUACUGUUAACAUUGAAGAUGUGAACGAGUAUAAUCCUGUGUUUGAUCAACCGCACUACUCCACAAAUAUUUCAGAAAAUACUCCCAAUGGAACUUUUGUUCUCAAGGUGUCUGCAAAUGAUGCCGAUGGCUACUAUCAUCAGAUAUCCUAUUCUAUCCUAUUUGGAGACGAUGACCGUUUUAUGAUCAAUUCGACGACUGGAGUGAUCGAGACUAAAGACGAAUUAGAUCGAGAGGUCAGAUCGUCUUAUACGCUCAUCAUACGUGGACAAGACGAUGGCCCGUCCCCAGGUCGCGUGGCCGAGACCAUCGUGGUUGUGAACAUCUUGGAUAUGAAUGAUCAUGCUCCGACAUUAUUCCAGACGCAUUAUAGUGCAUAUGUGUUUGAAAAUGCCGCCGUUAAUUCUACUGUUUUGACGGUUUAUGCGUCCGAUUUAGACAAGGGCAAGAACGGCGACUUUUCGUACGAGUUGGUCGGUUGUGAUGGUUUGUUUUCUAUCAUAAAAAUUGGAAAUAUUGGUGAAAUUUUGGUCGAUGGUGUUUUGGAUUUUGAAAAGAACAAGACAUUCCAGUUUCACGUUGUGGCCAAGGAAACCCUUACGUCAGAGCGGAGAGAAUCGAACGCCUCCGUUGAUGUCAUCUUGAUGGAUGUGAAUGAUAACGCACCUGUUUUUGCAAAAGAUUUUUACGAAGUUAGCGUUCAAGAAUCUCCCAGAUUUCCUCAGUCAGUUGGCACUGCGACUGCGCACGACAAAGAUUCCGAGAGAUUCGGCGAAAUAAUCUACUCGAUUUUCCAAGGAAAUGAAAAUGCCAACUUUACCAUCGACAGCAAGACCGGAGAGGUGAAGACGGGCGCGGCCUUAAAUCGAGAAAUGAGAGACAGCUAUUUGUUGACCAUUGAAGCGCAAGAUGGUGGUCUCCCUCCUCGUAAAGCCAUAUCCACAAUGCUGGUGACUGUGACCGAUAGCAAUGAGGAGCCGCCGUAUUUUGUCGAUACACCAUACACGGCAAGAAUUGUUGAAAAUACAGAGUAUGUUUCAUCUGUGAUUUUUAAAGUAAACGCAAUUGAUCCAGAUCUAAUGUCAUUGAAAUAUAGUAUGGAAAAUAGUUCUAGUUUUGAAGUGGAUUCCGUGUCUGGUGUCAUUAGUGCAAACGGUCAGUUUGAUCGUGAAACCCAAUCGAUUUACAAUCUCACUGUCAUUGCUGUUGAUCAAGGUGGAUUGAACGCUACUGCUCUAGUCAUCAUAACCGUCCAAGAUGUAAAUGACAACACACCUCAGUUCGCACACACUCCUUACCAAGUCAGUCUCUCCGACAACACAAGUAUUGGAGUUGACGUUUUGAGAAUACAAGCCAUUGACCUUGACGCUGCUCAUAACGGCGAGAUAAUCUAUUUCCUAGUCGAUACCGAAGGAAAGUUUCUUAUUAACCAAACAACAGGUGCAGUGUCUGUCUCUGGUCUACUAGACAGCCAGGAAAAGUCUCUUUACGUAAUGAAAGUAUUAGCCAGUGACCGCGGAAUACCGUUUGCUCGAAUCAACUCUACUACACUUACGGUCAACUUAACCGAUGACAGAAAUCAUGCACCAAAGUUUCUUGACGUCGCUUGGAUAGCUUCACUGUACGAGAGCCUGGAACCGACGUUUGUUGUCAAUGUUGAAGCACUUGAUCCGGAUUCUGGGGUGCUGGGAGUAAUUUCGUAUAGUAUUACUAGCGGCAACAGAUACAAUGCAUUCACGGUCAACGCAACGGGAGCAAUAUAUUCAGCCAUGAAGUUAGACUAUGAGAAUCGUACCCAGAGAACAUUUGAUUUGAUUGUGAUGGCAAGGGAUAGCCUGGGGUUAACGGACACUACUCAGGUCAGAAUUACUGUCGUUGACGUCAACGAUAACCCGCCAGCGAUUAUCAACUUACCAGAACCCGCAGUCUUUAAUAUUAGCGGUAGCACUCGCAAAGGAUCUUUCAUUUAUGUUCUCGAAGCCGAAGAUCUCGAUUCGGAUGAUUCGGGUCGUUUUGAAUUUCACGGCGUUGCUGUUCCUGAUAACUUGACUGUAGAUCAAAGUUCUGGGGUGAUUAAAGCCAAAACAAACCUGGACAGCUCUCACUUGUCAAGCAUCUUGUUCACUGUCUACGUCAAAGAUAAAGGAAAUCCAAGCCUCGCGAGCUUUAACUACACCAUCAAAUUUAACAUCAUAGUCGAUCCUGUAGCAGAUCCAUUCCUUCUGCCAACGCUGACACAGACGAGCGUCUUCGAAAACGCAUCAUUGAAUGACAUCGUAGUUAGAGUAAAUUCAUCUCAGCGUGCAGAUAAUUUUACGAUAUUGAUUGAACUUCCACGCGCUGGAUUCUUUCGAAUCGACCAUCAAGGUAAUAUUUAUUUGACGAAGAUACUAGAUCACGAAACAAUAGAUGGCUUUAGCCUUCUGGUAAUGUCUACAAAACACAAAGAACAAGCGUUUGGAUUUGUUUCCGUCAUUGUGAAGGAUGUUAAUGACGAGAGUCCGACGUUCCAGUUUUCUCAUUACGAAGUUCAGUUGGAUGAAAAUCUACCCCCAGCUACAACUGUCUUAUUUCUCCACGCUAUUGAUGGAGACGUGCAGGAUACGAUUUCAUAUUUUAUUCACUCUGGUAAUACGGGAAAUGCUUUUAACGUAUCGACGAAAGGAGAAAUCCAGAUUGCCACACCACCCGAUUAUGAAAAGGCGCCAUUCUAUAAUUUAACUGUUAUUGCUAGCGAUGGUGUUAAUACAGGUGCGACUUUCGUUGAGUUGAAUGUUCUUAAUGUUAACGACAACGUUCCACGAUUCUUCAAUUCAUCUUACACUUUGAACUUGCCCGAGGAUACACCAGGAGGUUCUGUCGUGUUACAAGUUUCAGCAUCGGACGAAGAUGGAGAUGAUGUCGUGUACUCCAUUUCUGGUGACAAUGGAAAAUUCAACAUCGACCCACUCACUGGCGUUCUCACAACAACGGACGAUCCUGUUGAUUUUGAGGAAACUUCGUUCUACGUGUUGAACACUACAGCCAGUGAUCGCGGAGGACGAAAGUCCUCUGUCAAAAUCCUCAUCAACAUCACUGACUCAAACGAUAAUAGACCGGUGUUUUCAAAACAAACAUAUAACGUCACGAUAGCUGAAAACUUCCGUGGAGCGAUUUCUUCCCUCGCCAUCGAUGCCACUGAUCUUGAUUCUGGAAAAAAUGGUAAAGUGUCGUUUUCGAUCGUUGACGGACGCAUUGGAUUUUCUAUCGACUCGAAUACGGGACGGAUCAAUGUGACGAAAGCUAUUGACGUGGAUACCUCUGGAGUAACUACUGAUCUUUAUUGCCGGGGGGUGUUGGUUUUUACUAUUAAAGCAUCUGACGAUGGCAAACCUCAGCUUUUUGAUGUUGUAACGGUGAAAGUAUUUGUCUUGGAUGUUAACGACAAUGCUCCGAGUUUUUCCCGAUCUUCUUACUAUGAUGUCGUGUCCGUGUUGGCAACCGGUACCAUUCUACGUGUCAGGGCAAAUGACGACGAUUGCGGAUCGAAUGGCGAGAUUCGGUACUCUCUUUCUACAGUAAACGACAGCAGUAUCUUUGCGAUCGAUGAUAAAACGGGAAAUAUCAACGCCACCAAGUCACUGGAAGAUGGCGAAGGCGUUUAUUUGCUCGAAGUUAGAGCAUCGAAUUUUGUGUUUCCCAAUUUUUCCAGUGAUGUCUUAGUGACGAUCACUGUUAUUGACAGCAGGAAUAAUCCACCGAGUUUUGUCAAAGAUCACUAUUUGUUCGUAGUGUCCGAGGGCGCGGGGAUUGGUACCAACAUCGGUAUGGUCCACGCUUUUGAUGUUGAUCAGAAUGAAAGUGGAGUGUUCAUCUACACGUUGGAAGAUCGUGGCAACGUAUUGCCUUUCACCAUCCAUCCACUAUCAGGAAAUAUUACCCUUGUGCGAGGACUGGACCGAGAGAUACAGGAAAACUUUACUUUCGUUGUGAUAGCCGAAGAUUUUAGCUCCCCACGAUUGCAACGCUCAGCAACCGUUGACGUCAUUGUUGAUGACGUCAACGACAAGAUUCCAAAAUUUGAACAUGAUUUACAGAGGUUUACUAUCCCGGAAAAUAUUUCUGUAAAUUCAUUGGUGUGUACCGUAAAUGCUGUUGAUUUGGACAAGGAACGAUUUGGAGAGCCUACAUACAUUAUACACAGCGGUAACGGUGCGGGAUAUUUUCGAAUCGAUAAUGCCACUGGUGAAAUAUAUCUUUCAAAAUCUCUGGAUAGAGAGACCAUUAACGUCCACACACUUGUCGUGUAUGCUUACAAUUAUGGUGGUGAUACCUCGCGAAAACGACGGGAUCUUGAUCGAACGUGCUUUUUUACGUUGUUAAAGAUGGCGAAUUUCUCACUCAAGCAAAAAUGCUAAGCUUGAUAUUGGAAUAUUGCGAAGCGAACAAAGAACAUGCCAAUCUUGCCUGUUUAUGUGGAAGAAGCAGUGUCUUGAAGGGAGAAGAUGAAAUCACCGUCGUCGAAAUGAUGUUGUUACUAAUGGGGGUGUUUGUGGGUAUUGGUGGUCUACUGGGUAUAUUUCUCUUGUGCUGUUUAAGAAGGAAACGUUUCAUGCCAGUAGGCGACACAAGUGACUGUGUCCUACCACAGAAAGCAGUAUCUCUCGAUGGAAAACAGCAACUCAGUCAAGAAGAUAAUGAUCCCGAACGCAGGUCUGGGGACGGUGAACUACGUAUUUACUACGAGGAAACUUCAUUACACUCCGCUGAAGAAGCAGCCACGGCAUUGUCGACAUUCGCCGUUGAAAUCGAGAAGGAAGAGGCUAUUGCUAAAGUGCAUGCUUACAUGAAUCAGGCUUUGAUUGAUGACGAGAGUUCCGACUCCUUUACGGAUAGCUCCGAAGAUGAGGAACCUCGCGAGGCAGUGAUGGAACCGCCCGGAACGAAUGGGGACUAUACAAAGCCUGUUGUUUCAAAUUACACCAUCACCAACAUAUGAUGUCUUGCAGGCUUGAUCUGAUCAUCUGAAGAACGCGGUUUGAUUGAUUUAUUGAUGUAUUGAUUGACAGAUUUUUGUGACAAAUCUUCCCACAAAGGGGGAAAAAUGAAGCGUAUGAAAAUGCCUGUUCUUAUCCUAUAAAGGUCCAUAUUCUUUGUUGACUUUUCUAUUUUAUGUCGUAAAAAAUAAAACCUUAUAGAUGACAGUUCUUAGAUGUCAUUUACUAGAUGUCAUUCUUGUAAAUGCCAGUUCUAACAAGAACUGUUGAAAACCAAAAAUUAAGAAAAACGGUGCCUCAUUAGGGAUACGUCUGCUUGAGAAAAAUCUACUUAUAUCUAUAUAAAAAAAUGUACUAAUAAAUUGAGACAAGAAAUUGGAUGAUGUCAUUGGAAUUACACAUGAACCCAAAUA